rnacentral:rRNA from 1 species
UACGAGGGGGGCAAAUGUUGUUCGGAAUCACUGGGCGUAAAGGGAGCGUAGGCGGGUUUUAAGUCAGGUGUUUAAUCCCGGGGCCCAACCCCGGACCGGCACUUGAAACUGGGAAUCUUGAAUAGUGGAGAGGUCAGUGGAAUUGGGGGUGUAGCGGUGGAAUGCGUAGAGAUCCCCAAGAACACCAGUUGCGAAGGCGGCUGACUGGACACAUAUUGACGCUGGAGGCUCGAAAGCGUGGGGAGCAAACAGG